GACAGAGGGUGCAAACGUUGUUCGGAAUUACUGGGCGUAAAGCGCGUGUAGGCGGCAAGGCAAGUCGGAUGUGAAAGCCCACGGCUCAACCGUGGAAGUGCACCCGAAACUGCCUAGCUAGAGUCUCGGAGAGGAAGGUGGAAUGCUUGGUGUAGAGGUGAAAUUCGUAGAUAUCGUCAAGAACACCGAUAGUGUAGACAGCUUACUAGGCUUCAACUGACGCUGAGGCACGAAAGUGUGGGGAUCAAACAGG
rnacentral:rRNA from 1 species